rnacentral:rRNA from 1 species
UACGUAGGGGGCAAGCGUUAUCCGGAUUUACUGGGUGUAAGGGGAGCGUAGACGGCAGAGCAAGUCUGAAGUGAAAGCCCGCGGCCCAACUGCGGGACUGCUUUGGAAACUGCCCGGCUAGAGUGCUGGAGAGGUAAGCGGAAUUCCUAGUGUAGCGGUGAAAUGCGUAGAUAUUAGGAGGAACACCAGUGGCGAAGGCGGCUUACUGGACAGUAACUGACGUUGAGGCUCGAAAGCGUGGGGAGCAAACAGG